rnacentral:rRNA from 1 species
CCUACGGGGAGCUGCAGUGAGGAAUAUUGGUCAAUGGACGAGAGUCUGAACCAGCCAAGUAGCGUGAAGGAUGACUGCCCUAUGGGUUGUAAACUUCUUUUAUAUGGGAAUAAAACGUUCCACGUGUGGGAUUUUGUAUGUACCAUAUGAAUAAGGAUCGGCUAACUCCGUGCCAGCAGCCGCGGUAAUACGGAGGAUCCGAGCGUUAUCCGGAUUUAUUGGGUUUAAAGGGAGCGUAGGUGGAUUGUUAAGUCAGUUGUGAAAGUUUGCGGCUCAACCGUAAAAUUGCAGUUGAAACUGGCAGUCUUGAGUACAGUAGAGGUGGGCGGAAUUCGUGGUGUAGCGGUGAAAUGCUUAGAUAUCACGAAGAACUCCGAUUGCGAAGGCAGUUCACUGGACUGCAACUGACACUGAGGCUCGAAAGUGUGGGUAUCAAACAGGAUUAGAUACCCCUGUAGUC